UAUCGCUGCUGCAUCGACCAGGGAGGAGGCCGAGGCCACCGGAUCUAGCGACCUCACCUCCUUGCUGUGGAUCUGGGUGUCCGGA
rnacentral:pre_miRNA from 3 species